rnacentral:rRNA from 1 species
AGAGUUUGAUCAUGGCUCAGAACGAACGCUGGCGGCAGGCUUAACACAUGCAAGUCGAGCGCCCAGCAAUGGGAGCGGCGGACGGGUGAGUAACACGUGGGAACAUGCCUUUCGGUACGGAACAACUUCGGGAAACUGAAGCUAAUGCCGUAUGCGCCCUUACGGGGAAAGAUUUAUCGCCGAAAGAUUGGCCCGCGUCUGAUUAGCUAGUUGGUGAGGUAACGGCUCACCAAGGCUUCGAUCAGUAGCUGGUUUGAGAGAACGACCAGCCACACUGGGACUGAGACACGGCCCAGACUCCUACGGGAGGCAGCAGUGGGGAAUCUUGGACAAUGGGGGAAACCCUGAUCCAGCCAUGCCGCGUGAGUGAUGAAGGCCUUCGGGUUGUAAAACUCUUUUACCAGGGAAGAUAAUGACUGUACCUGGAGAAUAAGCCCCGGCUAACUUCGUGCCAGCAGCCGCGGUAAUACGAAGGGGGCUAGCGUUGUUCGGAAUUACUGGGCGUAAAGCGCGCGCAGGCGGUUCUUCAAGUCAGGGGUGAAAGCCCAGAGCUCAACUCUGGAAUUGCCUUUGAAACUGUAGAACUUGAGUACGAGAGAGGUGAGUGGAAUUCCCAGUGUAGAGGUGAAAUUCGUAGAUAUUGGGAAGAACACCGGUGGCGAAGGCGGCUCACUGGCUCGUUACUGACGCUCAGGCGCGACAGCGUGGGGAUCAAACAGGAUUAGAUACCCUAGUAGUCC